GCUACUGAAGGAUAACAGUCAUCCAUUGGUCUUAGGACCAAAAACUCUUGGUGCAAAUCCAAGCAUUAGCU
rnacentral:tRNA from 1 species